rnacentral:rRNA from 1 species
AAUAGAUACCCCGGUAGUCCACGCCCUAAACGAUGCAUAUUUGGUGUGGGCAGUUCAUUCUGUCCGUGCCGGAGCUAACGCGUUAAAUAUGCCGCCUGGGGAGUACAGUCGCAAGGCUGAAACUCAAAGGAAUUGACGGGGGCCCGCACAAGCGGUGGAGCAUGUGGUUCAAUUCGACGCAACGCGAAGAACCUUACCUGGGCUCGAACGGCUGGUCAACGGGAGCGGAAACGUUUCUACCCCGCAAGGGGGUCCAGUCGAGGUGCUGCAUGGCUGUCGUCAGCUCGUGUCGUGAGAUGUUGGGUUAAGUCCCGCAACGAGCGCAACCCUUGUCCUGUGUUGCCAUCAUUCAGUUGGGAACUCGCAGGAGACCGCCAGGGAUAACCGUGGAGGAAGGUGGGGAUGACGUCAAGUCCUCAUGGCCUUUAUGUCCAGGGCUACACACGUGCUACAAUGGACGGUACAAAGCGCAGCGAACUCGCGAGAGGGAGCCAAUCGCAAAAAACCGUUCUCAGUUCGGAUUGCAGGCUG